AACGAACGCUGGCGGCAUGCCUAACACAUGCAAGUCGAACGACAUCUUCGGGUCUCGUGGCGCACGGGUGCGUAACGCGUGGGAAUCUGCCCUUUGGUUCGGAAUAACAGUUGGCAGCGACCGCUAAUACCGGAUGAUGACGAACUUCCAAAGAUUUAUCGCCAGAGGAGUACCCCGCGUAGGAUUAGCUAGUUGGUGUGGUAAAGGCGCACAAAGGCGACGAUCCUUCGCUGGUCUGAGAGGAUGAUCAGGCACACUGGUACUGAGACACGGCCCCUUCUCCCACGGGAGGCAGUAGUGGGGAGUAUUGGAUAAUGGCGGCAACCCUGAUCCAGUAAUUCCGCGUGGGUGUUGAAGGCCAUCGGGUAGUAAAGCUCUUUCUGCGGGCAAGAUGAUGACGGUACCCGCAGAAGAAGCCCCGGGUAACUUCGUGCCCGCCGCCGCGGUAA
rnacentral:rRNA from 1 species